GAUGAAGAACGCAGCGAAAUGCGAUAAGUAAUGUGAAUUGCAGAAUUCAGUGAAUCAUCGAAUCUUUGAACGCACAUUGCGCCCGCCAGUAUUCUGGCGGGCAUGCCUGUUCGAGCGUCAUUUCAACCAUCAAGCCCCCGGCUUGUGUUGGGGACCUGCGGCUGCCGCAGGCCCUGAAAACCAGUGGCGGGCUCGCUGUCACACCGAGCGUAGUAGAUUUUCAUCUCGCUCAGGGCGUGCUGCGGGUCCCGGCCGUAAAAAGCCUUAUUUACCCAAGGUUGACCUCGGAUCAGGUAGGAAGACCCGCUGAACUUAAGCAUAUCAAUAAGCGGAGGA
rnacentral:misc_RNA from 1 species